UACGUAGGGUGCGAGCGUUAAUCGGAAUUACUGGGCGUAAAGCGUGCGCAGGCGGGUCGGUAAGUCAGCUGUGAAAGCCCCGGGCUCAACCUGGGAAUUGCGGUUGAAACUGGCGAACUAGAAUCUGGCAGAGGGGGGUGGAAUUCCACGUGUAGCAGUGAAAUGCGUAGAGAUGUGGAGGAACACCGAUGGCGAAGGCAGCCCCCUGGGCUAAGAUUGACGCUCAGGCACGAAAGCGUGGGGAGCAAACAGG
rnacentral:rRNA from 1 species